CGGCGGCCACGCCCUGUGAGUGAGGAGAGACACGUCUGCAUUCACGGCCUCGUCCCGUGUAUGUUUGUACAUACGGCGCAUCUGAGCUCUGACCGUAGAUCCACCCGUAUUUAAUGUUCUAAUGUUUAUGAGGAGGUUGUAAAGUUUGGAUUCAGGAGGUGAAAUAUGUGCGUUCAAGUGUGUGUGUGUGUGUGUGUUUUUGUUGUGCAGCUCGUGCAACCUAAGUUAGCAUCAGUAGCUUGUUCAUCGCAGAGGAACUAGCGUCUCUGUCGACUGAGGAAAUGAUUGUACGAAUGAACAUGAGACGAGAGAAGAGAAACGGGAAGUGUGUGUUUGUGUUGGUUGUGAUGUCAUCAUCCAGACAAACAGUGUUUUGGGGAAAGUUACACAGCUCCAUAGCAUAGCAUGUCCUUAAAUAUAUAUAUUUUGUAUGGCUUUCUCAAAGCUGGGGUCUGUAAUUUGUCGCUCAUCUGUUUCAAUUAGCAUUACGUGUCCUGACCAAAAAAUAUUUAGUUUUUAUGUAACAAAGUAAAAUCUGUUACAUGACGUUGGUUAACCUGGGUCAACAAUGUUUGAAUGAAGUCAUAAUGGAAUUUCUGUUAUGCAACACAUGUUAGUGGGUGGCUAAUGUGGACUGCCAUGCCUGCUAGCAGCAGGCUAACGUCAGUAAAUUGCAACUAGCAUUCACUUAGUUCACAAUUUACUGAUUUAAAUGAGCAACACCAACAAAUAUAUAUGUAGUACGAUUAGGCGAGAGCAAAGGCAGCUAGCAUGUGCAUAACCUGAGACUAUUCACAGCAGCUAGCUCCUGUCCAAUGCUGGAAACUGCUUCACUAGCCGCCCCUUAGCAUUAAUAAAAGCGCUGACAUGUUUGCGCAGUAAUCAUUGCAAUCUAUUAAUUCCAUUGCAGGCUGUAGUUUUAACACAUCUAACAUGCAAACCAGGUUUAUAAAGACAAACCAUGUUUCUUUAUCUUCAUUUAAACAUUUUUAUUGUUUCUUCAUAUAAACUAAUUUGCUUAUUAUAAAAAAUAAUAAGCACAUUUUGGGAGUAACAGUCUUUCUUUAUUGCUGAGAGUUGUAUAGAAGUUUCGCUAGCAGCGCCUUAACACAUAACAUUAGCUUAGAACCAGGACAAGUCUCGGUUUCCUGUUGUUGUUGUAUUAUUAUAUAAAAUAUUUUAUAUUUUUAUUAUAACAUGAUAUAACAGAAUUUGUCAAACCAAUUAUUGUUUGUAAAGUAUAUUAACACUAUUAUUUGGACAAAAACCUGGCAGCAUGACUUGUAUAUUACUUUCCAUCAUAUUGUAGUACAUUGAGUUUUGCUUUGUUGGGAGAAAACUUCAUUUAUUUUGUUUUCCUGGGUAAGAUUGUUAUUCUUAGUAAUUUGCUUGUGAAUAAAAAUGAUUAAUAUUACGGUCAAAAACAAACUGUGGCUAAAAUAAAGGGUCUGCAACAGAGGGUGGCAUGUGGCUAAAAUUAGCAAAUUGCUAAGCCAUCUAGAAUGUAACAGAUAUAAGCCAAUAGCGACCUUGCUAGUUUAUUGCCCAUAUAAGGCAUUUGGCAGCUAUCAUGUGACAUUACGAAAUGGCAAAACCAGCUAGCUUGUUUCUUACUGGGGACAAAGAAGAAAUAGAAAAAUAAUAACAGGCGACAUUUUUAAAUUAAGAAUUUAGGGGCGGAGCGGGAGAAAUAAAUUGUUUUUAUUAUUUCAGUUUAAUUUCAUCAUCGUUUUUUUUCACCUUUUCAUCAAUCAGCCGUCUUUUUUGAUUUUUGUUUCCUUGGGUUGCACUUAUACACUUCAUCACAGGAUGUCAUUAAAUUCUGCAAAUGAUCCUCGUAAAUGUCAGCUUUAUCACACAAUAAACCAAAUCCUACGACAUGUCAAUUCUUUUCAUAAAUAUUUGAAAUAAUUGGUCUUUUUUAAACCAUGUAUAUUAACAGUUGACGGUUAAUGACAGGGCCCUGCCCACUUUUACUGCUGCAGUUACCGACGACACUUAUCCGACGACACAUGCUCAUUACACUAAUGAUAACAUGUCUUACUGAAGUCAAACUUAGUUCUGUUUCCUGGUUUUGCUCCUCGUUUAUGAAAGAAAAAAAAAAUCUGAAGUCAGUAUUUUUUCGAAGAAACAUAUAUACCAUGUAUAAUUGUACGACUCUCCCUGUGCUCUUUAAGCGGAAACUAAUAAAACAUGCAAAAAAAAAACAAAACAAAAAAAUUCAA